rnacentral:rRNA from 1 species
GACGAACGCUGGCGGCGUGCUUAACACAUGCAAGUCGAACGGAAAGGCCCGGCUUUUGUGGGGUUCUCGAGUGGCGAACGGGUGAGUAACACGUGAGUAACCUGCCUUUGAUUCUGGGAUAACUUCAGGAAACUGGGGCUAAUACCGGAUAGGAGCUCCUGCUGCAUGGUGGGGUUUGGAAAGUUUCGGCGGUUGGGGAUGGACUCGCGGGUUAUCAGCUUGCUGGUGGGGUAGUGGCUUACCAAGGCUUUGACGGGUAGCCGGCCGGAGAGGGUGACCGGCGCAAUUGGCACUGAGGUACUGCCCGGCGUCCAACGGGAGGCAGCAGUGGGAAAUCUUGCACAAUGGGCGGAGGCCUGACGAAGCAACGCCGCGUGCCGGGUGAUGGCCUUCGGGUUGUACACCGGUUUCGACUGUGUCGAAGCGUGAGUGACGGUACUGGGUGAAGAAGCACCGGCUAACUACGUG